CUGUCCCUCUAUAGUCUGUAGA
rnacentral:miRNA from 1 species